rnacentral:rRNA from 1 species
GACGAACGCUGGCGGCGUGCUUAACACAUGCAAGUCGAACGAUGAAGCCGGAGCUUGCUCUGGUGAAUUAGUGGCGAACGGGUGAGUAACACGUGAGUAACCUGCCCUUGACUCUGGGAUAACUGCUAGAAAUGGUAGCUAAUACCGGAUACGACCCUCGGAGGCAUCUCCAGGGGGUGGAAAGAAUUUCGGUCAAGGAUGGACUCGCGGCCUAUCAGCUAGUUGGUGAGGUAACGGCUCACCAAGGCGACGACGGGUAGCCGACCUGAGAGGGUGAUCGGCCACACUGGGACUGAGACACGGCCCAGACUCCUACGGGAGGCAGCAGUAGGGAAUAUUGCACAAUGGGCGCAAGCCUGAUUCAGCAACGCCGCGUGAGGGAUGACGGCCUUCGGGUUGUAAACCUCUUUUAGUAGGGAAGAAGCGAAAGUGACGGUACCUGCAGAAAAAGCACCGGCUAACUACGUGCCAGCCGCCGCAGUAA